rnacentral:tRNA from 1 species
GAGGGUGUAGCUCAGUGGUAAAGCAUGUGUUUAGCAUGCACGAGGUCCUGGGUUCAGUCUCCAGUAUCUCUG